AUAUAUAUAUAUAUAUAAAUAGUUUGUAUAUUCUUUAAUGGCAUCAAGGUAGUUAUUUCUGAGGAUAAUUCAAGUACAAGAAUUAUAGGGUCACUGUUUUCUGAAAAGUAUGUAUGCUAUAUAAAUGACAUUGAAGUUUCAUUUUAUUUUUCUAAUCACUAAAAUGUGUGAUAUAAUUUAUUUUUCCAAAUUAUCAAGGUAUAUCAGAAUUCCAUGCUUUGUAGUUAUCUGAUACAUGGCAAAAAUGGAACUUUCUAAUUCGUACGACUUUUAUACCAAUCAUCUAGUAGUUGCAGAAAUAUUGAGACUCAUAAUUUUUAAAUUUAUAAAUAUAUUGCAAUUCCUAUUGUCUUUUACAAUGAAGAUGACACAUUGAGAGUUGAUAAAGCGAUCAUGGAGCUCAGAAUUUUUCGUGUUUGUUUGAAUCCCAGAGGAGCAAUUUAUAAACACUAUAUAUUUAUUUACUCUAUUCUCAGAACAGUUGACUGUUUUGUCAUUUGAAUUACACAUUUCAAAAAAAAAAAAAAAAAGAAUGACACAUUGGGUAUUCAGUUGUCUUUCUGAGACUUAAUGAGGCUAAUGAUUCAAAGUUUUUUUUUUAAAUAAUCAACAUUCAUGAAGAUUUUGUACUACCUCUUGGAACACAUAUAAAAUUUUGUAUGUGUUCCCUUAUUGCAUGACAAUAUUCAAGACAACUUUGUAAAUAAUAGUCAAAUACAAAAUUUUAACAUCUAGUUUUUCUAGAUGUAUAGAGUGUCACAGGGUAUAAUUUUGUAAAUACAUCAGUAUGAGCUUUUAUGCUUUUUAAAUUUUUUUGAGUGUGAUUUUUAAAAAUUGAUCUUGUUUGUUACUUGUUAAUAAAUAACAUAGAAGAAUGAGAAAAAGUAUUUUAAGUUCAACACUGGCUACUCAUCUACUGGAAAAAUUUCAUUAACCUUAGUGUAAGGCUUAUUGGACACACAAAACUAUUUAUAAUGGCAUACAUAAAUUAUAGUCAUGUGGUUGUAGUAAUAAAAGGUCAUUAUCUAAACAUUUGUAUUUAGGCAUUAUAGGAAAUAUGUCUUGGAAGAGUUUCGUCUACAUUUGUGAUUGAGUUAAUACAGUAUUAUAUUUACGGUACAUGACAGCACUCAAGACAUGCUGUAAAUAUAUACAUAUAUUUAUGCCAGUUUGAAAUAUCUUUUUUACAGAUGCAUUCUUAACACAGUAUAAGCCUGUAAAUAUUUCAUUAUGACCUAACAUUAAUUAAAUUAUACCAGUAAAUUCUUUUACAAUGGAAUAGAUAAAUACUAUUAAAAUAUUAAAUAUAAAACUGUUUAUGAAUAGUUUCUCAUGUAGAGAAGAACAAGCCAGUUUUUCUAUACUGUUUACAUGAAGCAAAAUUACAGGAAAAAAAUUGGGUGCUUUUUAUCUCCAAGAUAGAUAAACUAUGAAAAACUAUUAAUAAAUUUUAAGUUAAUUAGAAAAAUUUUCAAAAUCAUUGUUAGUCCACGAUUUACCAUUGGCAUGCUUAUUUACUUUUACCUGCAGUGAUUGCAUUCACAUAUUUAGGUCAUAAUAGUAUAUAGAUUAAAUACUUUUAAAUUAUGUUUAUAUUGUGGAUUUCAAUUUAUAUUCUGGUUUACAACUUAUAAAGAUAGUAUUUCAUUUAUAAUUCAGUUAAUUCUGCAAUCUCAAUGUUAUGACUAAAUUCAAUUUGUGGUAAAUACAUAUCCUGUAACUUUUCUAAAUGUUUUAAUAUGUUUAUAUAUCUUUAAGCUAUUUUAAAAUUUUGUAUAUUUUCAUCUAGUAUUAUUAAAGGUAAAUACCUAGUAUAGUGUACGAAAAAACAGCCUGUAUCACAUUAAAAGCAAUCAAGAGAAAUUAAAAUCAGAGUUAGGAUUAAUGAGUAACAUUUAUCCCAGCACCUUUCAAGAUUAUACACAGCUCCGUACUCAGUUUGUGGACAGCCUGAGCUCAUUUGGCCUUGUGUCAAAAGAAAGUGUGAAAACAGAAAAACUGAACACAUCCCUUCAACACAAAAGGAAUUUAAUAAUUGAAGAUUUGUGCAAGUCAAUUAAACUAUACAUGCUUGGAAAUUGCCACAUGGGACCAUCUUGAAUGAACAGUUUAUGCAAACAGAAAACAUGUUCAGGAAGAAUGUUAAAAUUUUAACACUUGUAAAUAGAAAGAAGAUGACAUUUGCCUGUCUUUGUAAUUUAUGAGGGUAUUUGCAAAUAAGCAUCAAAACAAGAAGAAAAUAUUAAAAAGACAUUUUGUGCCAGGACAUCAUGGUAGUGCUGGAUUGCCUAUCCAACUCUGUAUAAAGGUUUUUCAAACAAUUUGUGAAGAAUGUUAGUAUCUUCAGAGUCUUCUGCAUCAGCAAAGAGUAGUGCAUUAACUAAUGGAAAAGAGAAGAUAAAAUUUCUGGUGCUCAUGAUGACUAGUCCGAACCUGUGAACUUCUGAGAAAAUUUACAGUUCUGAAAACUAGAGGUGGUUACCGAAUUGAAUAGCCGUUGGUUCUACAGCCACUAUAAUGAUCUGAAAAGUUGAAUGUGUUGCAUGAACACUUUCAGGAAUCAUAAUAGAACUCAGCUAAUUAGAUAGAGACUGGAAUGUUGAUUUGAAGACAAUUACUUUAUAAAGAUUUUCUCAUUGCUGCUUUUGCAUUAUCCCAAGAAGUGGAGACACUACUACAUGGAUAAGAACUGUAUGAUUGAAUUGACUUUGGAAUCAUCUCAGUAUUGUCAUAAGUAUGAAGUGUAUUUCAUGGUACUUUUGAAGUUAGUUAUAGAAUUUUUUCAAUUGAUUUUUCUAUUUUUCAAAGGGUUUAGGUAAUAUGUAGCAUAGUCUGACUUGAGUGGUAACAUUUUAGAAAUAUACCAGGUACUGUUAGGGCAAUAUUGUGUGAAGAUUUACUUUUAUAGUGCAUGCCAAAUUUUGGGUUUUCUGGUACAUUUUAUUGGAUUUUAUUUAUUAAUAUUUGUUAUAAGAGCAGCUGAUUAUGGGUUAAGAUGAUAGUAUUACAGUUAUGUGUCAAAAUUCUAUUACUUUGAACUACAUUGGCUUGGUAUAUCAAGUCUACAUUUGAUUAAAUGUAGACUUAGCAGGAUUAAUGAAUUUGGCCAUUAAAACUACAGGAAUUUUAGUCAACAUUCCUCUCAUAUUUGUGUAUUUAUGUAUGUAUGUAUGUAUGUACAGGAAUUUUAGUCAACAUUCCUCUCAUUUGUAUAUGUAUGUAUGUAUGUAUUUAUUUAUUUAUUUAUUAUCAAAUCAUGCUGUUCAUUUCUGCUCAUUGUUUGAGUUUCCAUGCUAAUUAUCUAUUAUUCAUAAGUACAUUUAUAAAUAAGUCUGUAAGCAGGUCAUCAUGUAUGUCAGAUAAAAUACUGUGUUUUCUACUCUCUGUUUUAUUACUAAGUUGUAUA
rnacentral:lncRNA from 1 species